rnacentral:tRNA from 1 species
UCUAGAAGACCACGACUGAUCCUCAAGGGUCCGGGUUCGAGUCCCGGGCAACCCA